GACGAACGCUGGCGGCGUGCUUAACACAUGCAAGUCGAACGGAAAGGCCCUGCUUUUGUGGGGUGCUCGAGUGGCGAACGGGUGAGUAACACGUGAGUAACCUGCCCUUGACUUUGGGAUAACUUCAGGAAACUGGGGCUAAUACCGGAUAGGAGCUCCUGCUGCAUGGUGGGGGUUGGAAAGUUUCGGCGGUUGGGGAUGGACUCGCGGCUUAUCAGCUUGUUGGUGGGGUAGUGGCUUACCAGGGCUUUGACGGGUAGCCGGCCUGAGAGGGUGACCGGCCACAGUGGGACUGAGAUACGGCCCAGACUCCUACGGGAGGCAGCAGUGGGGAAUAUUGCACAAUGGGCGGAAGCCUGAUGCAGCAACGCCGCGUGCGGGAUGACGGCCUUCGGGUUGUAAACCGCUUUCGCCUGUGACGAAGCGUGAGUGACGGUAAUGGGUAAAGAAGCACCGGCUAACUACG
rnacentral:rRNA from 1 species